rnacentral:rRNA from 1 species
GACGAACGCUGGUGGCGUGCCUAAUACAUGCAAGUCGAGCGGACCAAUAGAAGCUUGCUUCUGUUGGUUAGCGGCGGACGGGUGAGUAACACGUGGGCAACCUGCCUGUAAGACCGGGAUAACUUCGGGAAACCGGAGCUAAUACCGGAUAAUUCAUCCCCUCGCAUGAGGGGAUGCUGAAAGUCGGUUUACGCUGACACUUACAGAUGGGCCCGCGGCGCAUUAGCUAGUUGGUGAGGUAAUGGCUCACCAAGGCGACGAUGCGUAGCCGACCAGCGAGGGGGAUCGGCCACACUGGGACUGAGACACGGCCCAGACUCCUACGGGAGGCAGCAGUAGGGAAUCUUCCACAAUGGACGAAAGUCUGAUGGAGCAACGCCGCGUGAGCGAUGAAGGCCUUCGGGUCGUAAAGCUCUGUUGUUAGGGAAGAACAAGUAUCGGAGUAACUGCCGGUACCUUGACGGUACCUAACCAGAAAGCCACGGCUAACUACGUGCCAGCCGCCGCCGUAA